rnacentral:rRNA from 1 species
CCUACGUGUGGCAGCAGUGGGGAAUAUUGGACAAUGGGGGAAACCCUGAUCCAGCAACGCCGCGUGAGUGAAGAAGUAUUUCGGUAUGUAAAGCUCUAUCAGCAGGGAAGAAAAUGACGGUACCUGACUAAGAAGCCCCGGCUAACUACGUGCCAGCAGCCGCGGUAAUACGUAGGGGGCAAGCGUUAUCCGGAUUUACUGGGUGUAAAGGGAGCGUAGACGGCAUCGCAAGUCUGAAGUGAAAGCCCGGGGCUCAACCCCGGAACUGCUUUGGAAACUGUUGGGCUAGAGUGUCGGAGAGGUAAGUGGAAUUCCCAGUGUAGCGGUGAAAUGCGUAGAUAUUGGGAGGAACACCGGUGGCGAAGGCGGCUUACUGGACGAUAACUGACGUUGAGGCUCGAAGGCGUGGGGAGCAAACAGGAUUAGAUACCCUUGUAGUC